rnacentral:rRNA from 1 species
UACGGAGGGUGCGAGCGUUGUCCGGAAUCACUGGGCGUAAAGGGCGUGUAGGCGGUUGGUCAAGUCUGAUGUGAAAGCCCGGGGCUCAGCCCCGGAAGGGCAUCGGAAACUAGCCAGCUGGAGCGCGAUAGAGGAGGGUGGAAUUCCUGGUGUAGCGGUGAAAUGCGUAGAUAUCAGGAGGAACACCGGCGGCGAAGGCGGCCCUCUGGAUCGUUGCUGACGCUGAGACGCGAAAGCGUGGGUAGCAAACAGG